CCUACGGGGGGCAGCAGUGGGGAAUAUUGGACAAUGGGCGAAAGCCUGAUCCAGCCAUGCCGCGUGUGUGAAGAAGGCCUUCGGGUUGUAAAGCACUUUCAGUGGGGAAGAAAGCCUUGGGGCUAAUACCCUCGAGGAAGGACAUCACCCACAGAAGAAGCACCGGCUAACUCCGUGCCAGCAGCCGCGGUAAUACGGAGGGUGCGAGCGUUAAUCGGAAUUACUGGGCGUAAAGCGCGCGUAGGCGGUCUGAUAAGCCGGUUGUGAAAGCCCCGGGCUCAACCUGGGAACGGCAUCCGGAACUGUCAGGCUAGAGUGCAGGAGAGGAAGGUAGAAUUCCCGGUGUAGCGGUGAAAUGCGUAGAGAUCGGGAGGAAUACCAGUGGCGAAGGCGGCCUUCUGGACUGAAACUGACGCUGAGGUGCGAAAGCGUGGGUAGCAAACAGGAUUAGAUACCCGUGUAGUC
rnacentral:rRNA from 1 species